CUAGAGAUGUACUGAAGCGACUGAUUAGUAUAAGACUAAUUCGGGAUAGUUACUAGGAUUAGACCCGAAACGUGGUGAUUUACCCUUUGCCAGACUCAUAGGUCGAACGGGUCAAUGUUGCAUUAUUGUCCGAUGAGCAAAGGGUGGUAAGUGAAAGACAACUCUGACCACGAUAUAGCUGGUACUCCUCGAAACGUAUUGAGGUACGGUUUUCCAUAUAUACUUACAUAGGUAGAGCACUGACCAUCAUAUUAAUGGUUUUAAUCGUUAAUUUAAUUGGGGGAUCAUAGAUUCUACCUUUGAUGUGUUAACCACCAAAUGAUGUAAAUUUUUAUGGGAAGGACAGACUAUUCAUGAUAAGGUGGAUAGUCGAAACGGAUUUCUU
rnacentral:sRNA from 1 species